rnacentral:rRNA from 1 species
UACGGAGGGUGCAAGCGUUAAUCGGAAUUACUGGGCGUAAAGAGUACGUAGGUGGUUCGUUAAGUCAGAUGUGAAAGCCCAGGGCUCAACCUUGGAACUGCAUUUGAUACUGGCGAACUCGAGUAUGGUAGAGGGGGGUAGAAUUCAUAGUGUAGCGGUGAAAUGCGUAGAUAUUAUGAGGAAUACCAGUGGCGAAGGCGGCCCCCUGGACCAAUACUGACACUGAGGUACGAAAGCGUGGGUAGCGAACAGG